UUCUUUCUCACAGUCAUUUAAAUGUCAGGUAGAAAAAGUUCAAAUGAAGACCUGUGUUAACAUUUCAGGCUGUUAAGACCAAAGUAUUGACAGCUCAGCUCAUACUCAAAGUUUUAAUGGAAAUUCACAGCAGAAACAGAAUGAGAGAGUGCAGCUGUACAACAUGGUUAGCACAGUAAUCAACCAACACAGGGUAACCUGCAUUCUAUAGGGAAUAAACCUUAUCUUCCACCCCAUGCACAUUUGUAAGAUCCCUACGGUUCUUCACUGCUCUGCUCCAGAUGUUUCUUUUGACACAUACGCCCCUUGCUAUCACGAGAACACAUAAUUUGGCAAGCUCUGGAGAAGAGUUUUAUCAAGAUGGUUCCAUUUCACUUAGACAUGGAAAGGAAUCUUGUAUUGCAUUAUUGCUUUAAGAAGCUGACAUUUACCUGUGUCUAAUCAUUAGUAAUUCAACACUCCACACACAGAGAAAUAAGAGAAAGGUGCAUCAGGUGCUCAUCCCAGUUGGGACAUGAACCAGAGGCCAGAGGUUCAGUGUUGUCACCACGAUCCUCAAAUUAUGCAGCAUCAGAAUAAAAUGAAACUCUUCUGGCUCAACUAAAAAUUUGUUUUUGCCUAAACCUCCAUCAGAAGUAUAUGGCAAUGUGUGCAUCUGAUGUAGUUUCCAAAUAUCAGUUUGCAAAACAAAAACCAACUAGAAGGGCUGAUAUAAGAGCAAUAAGUCUGAGUAAAUAACAGCCAGCAGUUAUUAGCCUUGCUAACCAAUGCAGGCGUACUAGCAGAACUGUGAUUUUUUUUUUUCCCUCAGUUUAGCCUGUGUGCACAAAUGAGGAGACUUUAAAGGUAAAGUUCCAUUUCUUUAUAACCUUAAUCACAUUGAAGCUUCAUUAACCAUCUAGUCUUUGAAUGUUGUACUCACUUUUGACCUUUGCUUUAUUUGCAAUAAGUCUUUUUUUUAAUUCAUUUGGGAAUUUAAUUUAGGGAACAUUGUAGUCAUCGAGAAUUUAAGAGCCAUAUAAUAGCAAUAAGCUAAUGGCAAGAACCUACAAUUUGUUUAACCGUCAAAACAUUAUUGGCAACAAACUGUCUUUAGAUAUAUGGCCAGCAUGUAUUUUGUAUACGUAGAAGUUAGGUUUUUUUUUUUUUUUUAAACACAGGAUGUAGCUCUCAGUAAAAACUCCCUGUAGAAAUUCAUCACCACCAGCAAAAAAAAAUGUUGAAAAUAAAACCUAAAAUACAAGAAUGUAUCAACUACACCAGCUACAUUUAAGGUUCAAGAAAACAUGGUUCCAGUUUAUUUAGAGCCCUACUGUGAACACCCUACUGACAUUGGUUCCUUUUCAGCAGUUUUAAAAGGGAUUUCUUUCAUGUCAAAGGUGAGUCGAACACUCAGGAGUGCUAACAAUAUUUUAAUAUGACUAAAGUUGUAAAAAAAAAAAAAAAAUAGCCUUGUCAUUGAAGGCAGAAUUCUUGCAAACACUAAAUUAUAACAGUGGAACUCCAAGGCUGGUUUGGAUUCAGGCAUCAUGUGCUACAUGAUGAAUCUUUUUGACAUUAUAGAGGAAGAAUGAUAAUGAAAGAAAAAAACAAAACAAUAUUGUUUCCUCAAUUCAUAGCUUCACAGCCUGUUGCAUCUUACUUUAACUAGCAACCGUUUUUGUUGUCAUUUCACACACAAGGAGCAAAAGCAGAAGGCGACACACAAUUUCAUAUACCUUCCCAAGUAAAAGUAAGUCUCUACAUGAUUAUCACAUCAAACCAUGCACAUUACCAUCACAGUACUGCAGUUUGCAUAUCACUCUCAUUAACACAGUAAGAUCUGCAUUACACAUGCUGACCACUGUGACCAUCACUUAUCUCUGAAAUAUAUCAUCCGCUGUAAUCAUACAACUGAAAUUAGUAGUUCUAGUUCUCAUAUUAAUGACCCAAGUCGUUAAUUUAUCUGUUAAAGCAUGAUCUUUUUUGUUGUUUACAUCUAUGUACAUUUUUCUAUACAAAGAUGGCAAAAAAGGCAAGUGAAUAUAUAAAAGAUUAUAUAUUUAUACAGUCAAGAGGUCAAGUUAAACACACCGACCAGCUUUUAUUUUGCUGGUGUUAUUUAAAAUUUCACAGCAAAAUCUAAAUUCAAGUUGUUUUUUGACAUUCCGCACAAAGUAGAAAUGUGUUAUUUGAAACAGAUCAACACUUAUGGUAGAUACUACUACAGGACUGAGCUUACAACUAUUAAAAAAAAAUUAAAUAAAAAUCAAUCAACCCAUUGAAAUUCUCAAUUUAAAAGAAAAAUGCAUCAAAAGAGAACAACAAAUUAAACAAAUCAUGCAAGAAAAUGUACUAAGCACAGAAGAUGUUAGAAACUGCAAUAACUGUGUGUUAUUUUGGCAUCAGUCAUGCAGGGCCAGAGUCCACACUGCAGUGCUUCAUUUAAUGUUUGGAACAGAACAGCACUGCUGCAGCACAUCAAUGUUUCAGUCCACAUUUCUUCAGUAGUCCUGCCUUUGCUUUCUAAAUUUUUUUUUUUUUAACAGUCCAUUAGUGAAGCUAUUGUACAUUUCUUUUCAGCAACCGAUGAUUUGACAGACUACUUUUUUCUCAAUAUUUGCUGCAAAGUAUUUAAGCUAUAAAAGAGACAUUAGGACUGCAAACCUAAGCAGAGACCUCACAGAAGGUCUUGUGGCUGGUUUCCAUAUGACCUGCACUUGGAGCUUCAUCCAUUGCUCCCAAAUCAAUUAUCUUUAAUGUUUGGACAUCUGGUCAGCCUGAAGCUGAGCCACAUUACACCAUGAAAUGUGAGGUCAUCAAACACCUUGUAUUAAGUUCAACAACUGGGAGUUCUACUGACUUAACGUACAACUGACAUGGUUUGUUACGCUUUACAUAAUAUACUAAGUCCCAAAUAAAAGUGCUAUUAAUUGACAAUUUGAGGAUUUGAUAAGACUGAAAAUUUCCCAUGCGAAUUCAGGCUACUGACUUCCAUUGAAACAGCAAGGUGUACGUGAUGUCACUCCAGGAAGUCUUCUCUUCAGUCCAGCUUGAAAAGACAGAAGCAGCACCUCUGAUAUUGAUAAGGCUUUGUUCAUCGUGGAACUAUGUUGUGUUUCAUAGCAGAGCGCUCCAAUGAGUUGACAGCAGAAUGUGCAUGAGCCUUACACAGAUUGUGGGAGAGCUAGGAACUGCAUCUAUAUUUGAAGUGUGAAUUUUUCUAAUAAUUGCUUCAUGGAAAGGUCCAAGCUUUCAUCUCAAAUGGGAAUAAACAUGACGUGAAAACAAGUGUUAAAGCCUGCGCAAAAAUGUGUCCUGAUGAUUCUAAUGAAAUAACAUCUUAGAGAAGUAAAUUACAGGUAAGUCUGUGUUUUGUUUUUUAUUUUAUUAUGCAUAUUCUGUUGGGAGAGUGUGAGAGCGAGAGAGACAAAUGAUUGAGGACCGAUCCAGACAUGCAUGCUGUACUGUGACUUUCAUGUGGAUAAAUAUCAGCCUACUGGCCACUGCCAGCCACAUUUGAUACACAGCAAACUGCAUUUUGUUCACAGUGAUGAAGCGUGCCAGCUGUUGCCUUCAGCACAGACUAUCCCCUCUGGAGCAGGCUCUCUGAUCUCCAAGUACCUGCACUGAACACAUAUACCGGGUCAUGUCAUCCCCAAGUAGAACCGGACACACGCGUGCCACUAGGGCUAGCAGAGACCCGUUUGGAGACACUGGCCUAGACCAGGAUGGCUUGACCCCAGUUCGUUCCCUCUUUAUGCACCUCAACCAUCUGUUGAAGAAUCAAGGUGAAAAUCCUUGUUUGAGAAAUACAAGAGUGCUCUGAGAGCACAAUAUUCCCCGCUGGCAAAUGCUGCUUUGGUAUAAGUGCUGGCUACAUUCUGAUAACAUUUCAAGGACUUGCACCAAGUUUAACAAAAUUUCUCCUAAAAAUGUGAGAGGAGUUGACUUCAGAAUGUAGGCACCCUUUUUGGACAGACAAACGGAUAGAAAAAGCCACAACAUAAUCCCCCUUCAGUCCUUUUGCCAGCAGGGGAUAAAAACUCUGUGUGCGUACAGCUCAGUCUCGUGAUACUUGUUGGCAAAAUCCUGAGAUUUUACAUGUAAAAAAAAUAUAAUUUGACUAUAUAACAUUAGUUGUAGUAAAUCAUGGUGAAUUAUGUUCCUGUCACUUACAUCCCAUCAGUCUGUUACAUUUGCUUCCUUUGUCAGCUGCUUCAGAUUAAUUUGGCUGAAACAUGUCCUCUGAUCACCAAAUAUAACUGCCACAUUAUCUUCUCUGUUCCCGUUUGUCUCCUAUGAGCUUUCAGAUAGGGAAGAUAUAGUGUUUUCCUCGGAGCUGCUUGUGAGACUAAACAUUGUUUUCAUAUACUGGAGGCACUUGCCUGCUAAUGUACCUCUGCUGUGAUGCUGUGUUUCAGCUCCUUUUCGCCUCAUGAGACCAAACAGCGUUGCCGCAGGGGUAAUAUUUUGCCAAACUAAUGUGUCAUUCAAAUUUUUUUUUCCAACCGAACAAAACACAUACUAUCACAAAGUAAUAUGAAUCAGAAAAA